AUGCCUUAACUGCAUGAGUAAGGAAAAUAACGAUUUGGGGUGAUGCCUGAAUCCUAACUGCUAGUGUGAGAUGAACUUUUGAGUGAGUAAAGUUGCCCUUCAGGUGACCUGCCUACUUUGUGGGAUGCCUCGGAGUGGCGAUCUGCCCA
ensembl:snRNA U12 U12 minor spliceosomal RNA